rnacentral:rRNA from 1 species
CCAGCAACUUGGAGGAAUGAACGGCGAAAGCCAAUUGCGUCCUAUUUGUGGUGCAAUAUCGAUUUGAUCGAAUAAAAUUCUGGGCAAAAUUAUGAUAAUGACAUUGUUUGCCUAUAUUUCUUGACCAAACUACGUGCCAGCAGUCGCGGCAAUACGUUACAGAUAAGUGUUAUUCAUCUUUAAUAGGUUUAAAGGGUACCUAGACCGUAAAUCAAGCCUUUACCAGGGACUAGUUUACUAGAGUUACUUGUGAGGGGGCAUAAAAGUACUAUGAGUGGAGAGAUAAAAUUCUUUGAUACCAUUUUUCGUAAGAAAAGCUAUGGCACUGGUAUAGGCGAAAGCAUCUUCUUAUGUGAUAACUGACGUUGAAGGACGAA